rnacentral:rRNA from 1 species
CCUACGGGAGGCAGCAGUGAGGAAUAUUGGUCAAUGGCCGGAAGGCUGAACCAGCCAUGCCGCGUGAAGGUCAGUGCCCUAUGGGCGUUAAACUUCUUUUGUGCGGGAGCAAUAAUGGUCACGUGUGGCCAGACGAGAGUACCGUACGAAUAAGCAUCGGCUAACUCCGGGCCAGCAGCCGCGGUAAUACGGGUGAUGCAAGCGUUAUCCGGAUUUAUUGGGGUUAAAGGGUGCGUAGGCUGUGAGGUAAGUCAGCGGUGAAAUGCCCCCGCUCAACGGGGUGAAGUGCCAUUGAUACUGCCUUGCUGGAAUGCGGAUGCCGUAGGAGGAAUGUGUGGUGUAGCGGUGAAAUGCAUAGAUAUCACACAGAACACCGAUUGCGAAGGCAUCUCACGAAUCCGCGAUUGACGCUGAUGCACGAAAGCGUGGGUAUCAAACAGGAUUAGAUACCCGAGUAGUC